rnacentral:piRNA from 1 species
AGGUGCGCUUGACCAAUAGCGCUUGGC